rnacentral:rRNA from 1 species
AUUCCUACGGGAGGCAGCAGUGAGGGAUAUUGGUCAAUGGGCGCAAGCCUGAACCAGCGACGCCGCGUUGGUGAAGAAGGUCUUCGGAUCGUAAAGCCCUUUUCCAGGUGACGAGCAAGGACGGUAGCCUGGGAAUAAGUCUCGGCUAACUACGUGCCAGCAGCCGCGGUAAAACGUAGGAGGCAAGCGUUAUCCGGAGUUACUGGGCGUAAAGCGCAUGUAGGCGGUUGUCCAAGUGGCGUAUGAAAGCGCCCGGCUAAACUGGGCGAGGAUAGGUCAGACUGGACGGCUAGAGGAUGAUAGAGGGGCGCAGAAUUCGGGGUGUAGCGGUGAAAUGUGUAGAGAUCCCGAGGAGUACCAGUGGGGAAGCCGGCGCCCUGGGUCAUUACUGACGCUGAGAUGCGGAAGCGUGGGGAGCGAACGGGAUUAGAGACCCCGGUAGUCCACGCCGUAAACGAUGCUUGCUAGGUGUCCACUUCCCGACAGGGCAGGGGGUGCCGAAGCUAACGCGCUAAGCAAGCCGCCUGGGGAGUACGGUCGCAAGGCUAAAACUCAAAGGAAUUGACGGGGGCCCGCACAAGCAGCGGAGCGUGUGGUUUAAUUCGAGGCUACACGAAGAACCUUACCUGGGUUUGACAUUGCGGUGGUAGGGAACCGAAAGGGGACCGACCUUCGGGAGCCGUAACAGGUGCUGCAUGGCGUCGUCAGCUCGUGUCGUGAGAUGUUCGGUUAAGUCCGAAAACGAGCGCAACCCCUAGGAGUAGUUACACGUGUCUACUCCGACUGCCCGUGAGAAACGGGAGGAAGGUGGGGAUGACGUCAAGUCAGCAUGGCCUUUAUAUCCAGGGCUACACACACGCUACAAUGGUCGGUACAAUGGGCAGCAAGACCGCGAGGUGGAGCCAAUCCAGAAAGCCGAUCGUAGUUCGGAUUGCAGGCUGCAACUCGCCUGCAUGAAGCCGGAGUUGCUAGUAACCGCGCGUCAGCCAUAGUGCGGUGAAUACGUUCCCGGGCCUUGUACACACCGCC